GUGUACGUGUGUGUGUGUGCACUUGCGGGUGUGUGUGCACUUGCGGGUGCGCAUGCGCGUUCGUGUUCACAUGAACACGGUGACAGACUGACAGUGUCCCGGGCUCUUCUCCGCGUGGCCAACGCCUUUUUUUCCGUUUGAUGUACCAGCCCAGAUGGCACCUGUCGGGAGGGGGUGGUGGGGGAGCAGAUGUGACCCCCCUGACACAUCUUCGGGGGGACAGGACGCAGUCACCCGUUCGAGGAAGGAUUUGCCAACGGUAAGAGGGCGGGUCUUAUACCACCCCCCACCGCCAUUCAACUGGUUGAUUUCCUGCAUCCCCUCCAUUGUGGGUCUUUAAUGGGUUAUUUGUCCCAGGAGGAGGGCUGACAUCACAGGAUGAGUCAGCCUCACCGUGCCCUCGGCAGGGGGUCCGGGCUCAUAGACAGAGAGCUGAGGGGGGGGGGGGGGGUUGUGCGAGAUGGGUAGAGGGAAAAGUUCAAGAAAAAAACAUGCAAAAGAAGCAAAGAGACACAGCAAGAGAGAAGAGGUGGGGAAAGAGCGGGGAGGUUGGAUGCGAAGGUGAUUCAACCGGAAGGCACCUGGCCAAGUCUGUGUUGUCCCACCUGCUGGGUGCUGAUAGGGGACCAGGGCAGAUAAAGAGAGGGCAGGACGGAGCAGUUGCAGUAUUGCUCCAACAGUUAAAAACGCCCCUCAUGAAAUACAGCCAUCCUUUCUGUUUCAUCGUUUUUAUGGUUUAUCUUAAAAUGCAUUUAUAUUUGUAUGGAUUUUCCUUCCUCUGUGCUAUACCUUAUAAAAGAUUAUUGACAGCAUUGUAAGGCUAAGAAAGUAAAGAGUGUUGCUUCUUUAUUAUCAAGUAUGCUUCAACCCAGAUUGACUCUAACCUUCACAAAAUAGUGGGAUUAAAUAUUUAAUCACCCUA